rnacentral:rRNA from 1 species
CAGCAGCCGCGGGAAUACAGAGGGUGCGAGCGUUAAUCGGAUUUACUGGGCGUAAAGCGUGCGUAGGCGGCUUUUUAAGUCGGAUGUGAAAUCCCUGAGCUUAACUUAGGAAUUGCAUUCGAUACUGGGAAGCUAGAGUAUGGGAGAGGAUGGUAGAAUUCCAGGUGUAGCGGUGAAAUGCGUAGAGAUCUGGAGGAAUACCGAUGGCGAAGGCAGCCAUCUGGCCUAAUACUGACGCUGAGGUACGAAAGCAUGGGGAGCAAACAGGAUUAGAUAUCCGCGUAGUCCCUGUCUCUUAUAC